UCGGGAAUUUUGGGCAAUGGGCGAAAGCCUGACCCAGCAACGCCGCGUGAAGGAUGAAGUAUUUCGGUAUGUAAACUUCGAAAGAAUAGGAAGAAUAAAUGACGGUACUAUUUAUAAGGUCCGGCUAACUACGUGCCAGCAGCCGCGGUAAUACGUAGGGUGCAAGCGUUAACCGGAAUUACUGGGCGUAAAGCGUGCGCAGGCGGUUAUGCAAGACAGAUGUGAAAUCCCCGGGCUCAACCUGGGAACUGCAUUUGUGACUGUAUAGCUAGAGUACGGUAGAGGGGGAUGGAAUUCCGCGUGUAGCAGUGAAAUGCGUAGAUAUGCGGAGGAACACCGAUGGCGAAGGCAAUCCCCUGGACCUGUACUGACGCUCAUGCACGAAAGCGUGGGGAGCAAACAGGAUUAGAUACCCAAGUAGUCCCUGAGCGGGCUGGCAAGGCGCAU
rnacentral:rRNA from 1 species